UUGCCAGAGGCUGGCGGGAGGGAGAAUGGGUAGUUAUUGUUUAAUGGGCAUGGGGUUUCAGUUUGGGAUGAUGAAAAAUUCUGGAGAUGGAUACUGGUGAAUGUUGCAAAACAAUGUGAAUGUAAUUAAUGUCAACUAAUUUUACACUUAAAAAUGGUUAAAAUGGUAAGUUUUAUAUAUGUAUAUUUUACUACAAACGAAGUUAUGAAACAUGGAAUAAGAAUGCAGGCUUGGUGGAGUCUGCUUCUGAUGAGAAACCAACUAAGUGUCUAGGACAGUUAAGGUACAAAGAGAUCUAUAGAGAGCCAUCAAUGCUCUUUUUAUGCUCAAAUACCUGACAUCAGGAGUCUUGCCUGAUUCUUUGUAGCCCAGACUCUCAACAAGUAUCUGGCUCCUAGAAGGUAUUUAUUACAUAGCUAGUGAAUGUAGAUGAAAGUUUGAUUUGGUUUAUAUAAUGGAGAAUAGAUAAUGUCUUCUUCAGAGUGCUAUACCUGGUUGGAAUGGAAUUAUAUAAAAAUGCAGAUACAAAGGUAAGGCAUUAUUCUUAAUACAAACAGGACAAAAAGGGGCUUGAAAAAUCUCCCUGAAGGUCACAGUUUAUUUGCCAUGAUCUGCUUUCUUGGUGAGUUAUGAUAAUUCUCACUG
rnacentral:lncRNA from 10 species